AAUAAUAAUUAAACAAAAUUUAUCACGCGCCCACGCUCCCUCAACCCAGUCUCCCUGAUCCCAACAGACUAGCAGAGUAACAAACCGGAAAACCCAAAAUUCCGAAACCCUAGACUCAGACAUGAAAUAAAUGUCCUAAAUGUUACACACACAGAAUCCAAAUGCAGACCGUAGCUAGAACCUAGAAGAAUAUAGCAGAGUCAAAAAAAAAAAAAAAAAAAGUUCCUGGAAUUGUAAAUCCUAGAGAGAGAAAGUGUGUUGUGGAGAGAGAGUGAGGAGAUUUAGAAGAAAAUCACACUGAAACGACGUCGUCGAAGGUGAUGGCGUCGUCGAAAUCGAAAAGUUCGCAUCUUACGUCAUCAUCAGCAACUGCUCGAUCUCGACGUGCUUCUUCUUCUUCUUCUUCUUCUUCGGCUUUGGCUUCGGCUUCCGCUUCUGCUGCUGCUGUUGCUUCUUCUUCUUCUACAAAACCACUAACUGCUUUUUCUUCUUCUUCUGAUCAAAUUAAAAGCAUCAAUCGUAAUCUGAGAUUAUCUUCGUCAUCAUCGGCGGCGUCUACAAUGACCGUCGACGGCGUCUUAAGUAACUUCUACGCCACUCCCUCUGCUGAGUCCACUCUCCUCGACGCCCAAAUUACUCUCAUUGACACCCCUGCUCCUCUCCUUCCGGAAACACCGCCACCACAGCCGCUGCCGCCGGCGACAAUUGAGACAAACCAUACUAAUAGUAGCAAUAAUCAAGAAAUGAACAGUGACAUUCCUCAGGCUAGUAAAACUGUGGACGAUGUAUGGAGGGAAAUUGUGGCGGGGAGAAAGGAGAUGAAGGAGGAGCCCGAUGAGAUGAUGACGUUGGAGGAUUUUCUGGCCAAGACUGGGGCGGUCGAGGUUGGGGAGGAUGAGGUCAAGAUGCCACCGCCGGAGAGGUUAAGUGGGGGAGUUUAUGCGUUUGAUCCCGUUCCACCCAGUGCAUUCCAGAUGUUGGAUAAAGUAGAGGGGUCGAUUGUUGGGUUUGGCAAUGAGGUGGAGGUGGCUGCAGGAAGAGGCGGAAGUGGUGUAGGCAGGGGAAAAAGGGGAAGGACCCCUGUAAUGGAACCAUUAGAUAGGGUGGCGCAGCAAAGACAGAGGAGGAUGAUCAAGAAUAGGGAAUCAGCUGCCAGGUCUAGAGAAAGGAAGCAGGCUUAUCAAGUGGAAUUGGAGUCUUUGGCAGUAAGGCUAGAGGAGGAGAAUGAGCAGUUGCUGAAAGAGAAGUGGAUCCAAGGAAAUGCCUUUAACUAGUGAUUUAUCACUUGCUGACUUAAUUACUUGUAGGCGAGCUAUAGGGAAAAAAUAGAGACUUUGUGAUUGGUUUGGCUGCUUACUUUGAAGUGAAGUGUACCAUCAAUUCAAGUAAUGAGGUCUGCCAUCAUUGUUAAUAUCAUGUUCUUGGUGUUGUCUACCUGAAGCAGUGCAUCUAAUUUUGUUCUCAUUGUUAUCAUCAGAGAUGUAUUAAAUUAGACUAGUGUCUAAUACAUGCGAGUUUUAAUUGUCUUUCCUAGAAUGUGAAAUACUUUGAUUUUCUCCAACUUUUGGAGUCAUUAAUGAAAAAAAAAAUAUAUAAGUAAAUUAAGAAUCCCUGUGCAUCACUGUACAUCUAAGGCCAAUUGUCUUAUCUUUUAGCUGCAUUCGUGUGUCUAUUUCAGACUGCUUAAGUUUUAGUCCUAUUACUUGUUCUCUUCUACUUUGUUUUUUUAGUUCUCUGAAACAGCUUUCAAAUAUGUAAAUGAGUAAGAUUGUGUUAUUCAAUGUUUGUUUUAUAAUUGGUGUUUCAACUCAAAUGCUAAGGUUGUUUAAUCUGGUUUUAUUUAUUGCUUUUGGCAAUUGGUGUUAGUUACUGUUUCCCUACCUCCUGACUCCUCUUUCCUCCUUCCUGAUAUCUCUUCUUAAUGUUUUGAUUUACUCACUUGCACAGAUUCUCAGUACUCAACUCACACUGGUUAUGGCAUUCAUAUAGAUGAUAUUCAUGGCACAUAGAUCACUACUUUAAAGGGGAAAUAUCUCAAAAAGCAUUUUUCCAGGGCCUAAUCUUAAAAAUGGUUAGGAUUUCAUAUUGUGCUGUGGAACAACUUAGUUUCCAUGUUUAGGUGCAAAUGGAAAAUAUGGCAUAUAAGUAUUGUUUACUUAAAAGUAAUAUUGUCAUGGCAUCAAUUAGUGACAACAUUGUCAUAGUGCUUUUAAGUUAAACAUCAACAAGUAUUCGCCAUAUUUCAUUUAGCUUGGGCUUUUGCGGGCAAGCUAUUUCUUGAUUCUGUUUAUAUUGAAAAAUUGGUUGGAUCAAGUAAAUACAGUUGCUACACCUUUUAGUUUCUCCUACUGGAUUGUAUUUUUAUCUUUAAUUGUCAAUGAGUAUAAAAGAGAACAUUUAAUAUUUUAUUUAAUAUUAUUUUAUAGUCUCUCUGUCUUAUAUUUUCUUUACAAGUUGUAGGCAUAAUGAUGAUUUACUUUUUCUACAUUUCCUGAGCAAAGUAUUUUAUGUGUUCUGGCCAAUGAAAUUUGUUGUGCAGGAAGAGAGGACCAAAGAAAGGUUCCAGCAGCUUAUGGAGAAAGUGGUGCCUGUUGUUGAGAAGAGAAGACCACCUCGAAGGCUCCGGAGAGUUCACUCCUUGCAGUGGUAAGAAAAUAUUUGCUCAAAGUGUGAUGGAAGACAGAUAUCCUUUGCUGACAUGGAGAGUAAAUGAAAAGCAGCAUUGUCAGUAAAAUUUCAUUUUUCUUUUAAAUUAGGUAUUUGAACCCAAUUGUUGUCUGAGAGCAAUCGUGGUUUCUGAUAUAAAAGGGGGGGAAAAAAGAAGGGAGGGGAUUGCAACCUGAAUCAUGAAGGGAAAAUUCUUUUGUUUAACUGAAUUUAGGAAAUUUCUAUCAUGGGAAGAUGGAUGGCAAAAGAGUCUAGUUAUUUAUCUAGUUAGCAGGUAUAGCAAUCCAAACCUUUGUUACUCCCAAUUGCUACCGUAAAAGUGGAGGAAGAGGAAGGGAGGGCGGUGGUGCUGUGGCGCGCUGGUGUUGGGGUUGUGAUAGAAGGGAUUCUGGACUGGCAUAGUGUAUUUAUGUGUUGGCAACAUAUGAUAGCCCUGACAAAAUAUAGAUUGGUGGAUGGUGACUAUUUAUAGUAAAGCUCGCUCUGCAUUAUUUUCCUGGCAAAAAUUGAUCCAUGUUUCUGAUCACUGACAUGAACUGGAGCUGUCUUGUUGGGAAUCUCUCGUUCUUUGAGGCAUGCGUUGAUGGUGAUAUGAUGGAAGAAAUGGUCCUUUGGUAGGGCAUCCUAGAAAAGUUGCUGCUUGUAAUAGUUUGGGUAGUCUGCAAACUGCAUGCUCAAAACAUCUUGGAAAAAUGACACUGCACACAAUUAUUCCAAUAAGUGAAUUGAGUUGGGCUUUUCAUCGGCA